AUACGGAGGGGGCUAGCGUUGUUCGGAAUUACUGGGCGUAAAGCGUACGUAGGCGGACUGAUAAGUUGGGGGUGAAAUCCCAGGGCUUAACCCUGGAACUGCCUUCAAUACUGUCAGUCUUGAGAUUGGAAGAGGUGAGUGGAAUUCCUAGUGUAGAGGUGAAAUUCAUAGAUAUUAGGAGGAACACCAGUGGCGAAGGCGGCUCACUGGUCCAAUACUGACGCUGGGGUACGAAAGCGUGGGAGCAAACAGGAUUAGAAACCCUAGUAGUCC
rnacentral:rRNA from 1 species